rnacentral:tRNA from 1 species
GUGUCCGUAACUCAGUUGGUUUAGAGUGCCACCAUGACAUGGUGGAAGUCAGUGGUUCAAAUCCACUCGGACACA